UGCAUCGAACUGCUUUCCUCACUUUCGAUCAAUUGUUGCUCCACGAAGUAACGUUGGAUGCAAAAGCGGGUUCCUGUGUUGCAUACCUAAUGUAAUGGAAAUAUGUGACUUUCUUGUGCCUUUCAUCAGAACAUCCAUUUGGAUGGUCGGGUGGACUAGAUAGUAGGGCUUGUGUUCCACGAGCACAUCUCCCAAGAUUGUUCGGAUGGACCAUGAGUGCCUACUUGUUCUCUCGGAUGCGGAACUUGAUUCACGGGCAUGGGGUCAUCGGCCCUUGUUCCCAAAUCUUUAAGCGUUUAUCGCUUUACUGGAAUGACGCUCCUGCCUCGUAUUUGAUCACGUGAAGCUCUCGAGCUCCAUGAUGGAUCAAUGCUUGGCGGACGUCGUGAAGGAAUGC
rnacentral:misc_RNA from 1 species